ACUUCAGUAGCUAGCUAACUACCAGCUCGAGUGUGCAGUUCUCUCCGCCAGAAUGGCCAACGCUGCCGAAAAUGUUGUGGACUUUUUGUUGAAGAACCCCUUUCAUUCUCUGGGGUACACCAGAAAGGUGCGAAUUAAAAGCGAGGGUCGACCUCUGCCAGAGAUAAGUUUCACGAAGAAGGAUGAAAAGGUGAGGGCGUUCAAUACCAACUGGUAUCAAAAGUAUAGCCUUUCAUCAAGCCGCCUGUAUUGCUGGCCUUGCCUGCUUUUUGGAAAGGUCUGAGCCUUGGUCGAAAGGUGGGUACAGUGACCUGAAGAACAUCGAUCGUUCAGCUAAACGGCUAAACAAAAGCAGGGAGCAUAUAAAUGCCCACAUCAGAUUCAAGUUUCUGGGGAAAAAGACGCAUCGAUCAUGACGAAGGUCUGUGUAUUCAAACUGCACAACACGACGAGAAAGUUAGAAGAAACAGGAUGUUCUCAAGCAGCUUAUCAACACCACUGUGAUUCUAGAGGACACGGCGAGAGGGAAAGGACCACCAACAACGGCAACUACAAGGAGCUUGCGGAGCUAAGUCCCCUCCUGUUCCCUAAUUUUAAGAGGUGACGUCUACUCCAACUCCACUACCAUUGUCAACUUUCUCCUGACAUGAACUGAUGCCACGUCUCAUGUCCCCCGCUCAUCCACUGGCACAUUGAAAUGUUUCCUCUCCAAGCACUUCAAUUCCUGUCCUGCGCUGAAGUGCAAGCCUUCCGAACACCUCAACUCAUGCCUCGUACCCUCAUUCAAUCACUGCUGUGAUCCCUUCCCAACACUGUGGAAGUAGCCCUCUCAUUCCCAUUCCUCAUAAUAUUGAACUAUAAAAUGUCUUUAUUAAAUGCUUUAGGU